UACAGAGGGUGCGAGCGUUAAUCGGAAUUACUGGGCGUAAAGCGUGCGUAGACGGUCAUUUAAGUCGGGUGUGAAAGCCCCGGGCUCAACCUGGGAAUUGCAUUCGAGACUGAAUAGCUAGGGUACGGUAGAGGGAAGUGGAAUUUCCGGUGUAGCGGUGAAAUGCGUAGAUAUCGGAAGGAACAUCAGUGGCGAAAGCGACUUCCUGGACCAGUACCGACGUUCAGGCACGAAAGCGUGGGGAGCAAACAGG
rnacentral:rRNA from 1 species